UCAAAUUGUCAUGUACAACUAACCAUAAUAAACAAUUUAGUAAUAAAGUUAAUUAUUUAAUUAAAAUUUGUUCACAUCAGUGAUUUAAAUUAAUUGACCUUUUACAAAAAAAAAAGUAACUGGAAAAUUUCCUAGCGGGGAACCCGAUCCCCGCGAAUUCCCCACGGGAAAUCCCCGUCCCGAUCCCUGUGGGGAAUGAAAUGGGGAGCGGGGAUGGGGAUAGGGAAUGACAUCCCCGGCCCCAUCCCGCCCCGUGGACAUCUCUAGUUUUAUGUGACAGAGAAAUAACUUAUUGUCCUUUUUAUGGGUCUCUAUCAUUGUAAUUUCUUUCCCAGUCUAUUUACAGGGCCCAUCUCUGUUUGCUUAGAUACGACUUGACUAUUCCAUUUGCUAGGUAUGUCGCCAUGAAUAGUUUAACAUCAUUCAAAAGGUAUCAAAGAGCAAAAGUUCAUAGAAGGGACAAUGAUGAAGUCACUGAGAGGAAAAUUUCCAAAGAAGUUCAAUAAUGAUUUUAUUAUGUGGAUUGCCCUUUUAUAAGCCAAGGGUUGGAGGAUUUACAAAUGAUAGUUAGACUAGUUGAUAUAACAGACUCAAAAUCUAAUUUAAAGAAUAAAGAUAAAAUGAAAGACUAAUUACAAUAAAAUGACAGCUAGUCAGUUGGUAAAGUGGCAUUUGACUUGAGUCUUGCCAGAGGACUUGAUUACUACACUGGAGUAGUUUAUGAAGCAUAUGUCAGUUGUUUGAUAUUAAUUCUGACUCUGCUUUAAUUGCUAGAGAAUCUUCUAUGAUAAUUCAAGUUCCAGUUAUUGGGAGGAUUUUGUUGUGUUAGAUCAGUCAAUAGAAUUUAACUUUCUAUUAUUUUGAAUUAUUGCUCAUUCUUGCAUGGUUAGUUCGAGAGCUUGAUAUCCCAUCCAACCCCUUCUUUCUUGAUAUGUCUCUUCACACGUUCACCGACUCCUAACCAGCUAAGAGACUGUAUCACUAGCUGCUAAACACAAGAAUAACCCUAUAAACAUAAAUGUCCCACAUCCCCCAAAAUUUUAGCCCAUCUCUUACCCCUUUUUCUAGGCCUUGUAAUGUGAUUUUGGGGUGUGACAGAAGUAACUAUAGCUUUGAGAGGUCCAAUUAGUGGUGUAUAAUCAACUUUGGCCUCUACUUAACAACUUCAUGUAGGAAUGAUUAAAAUAGAUAUCAAGGUCUUCAAGCUAUCCAUCGAGGUUCAGAAGGGAAUCAAGUCCGGGACAUAAUGAGGUAUCUUUUAGAAAUGCUCAACUGAAAGCUCUUGUCUCCAUCCACAAUCUGGAGAUUAUAAUCCACCAAGCUAGGUUGGGAGCUAGCCAUAAGGUUCUUGAAUUGAAUUGAAAAGGCAAGUAUAAUUUGCGUUUUAGAUUCUACUACAGCUUACCGUACAUAUGCUAAAAGUUUAGCCUUUAUUUUUGUUUCUUUUUUUAUGUAUACCAAAAUGGAGUGAGAUUCUUGUGGUGGGUGUUAGUUUUUGCUCUUUCUUUUUCCUCUACUACUUCUUAGAAAUGGGUAAAAAGGAGUGGAGAACCUCUUCAGAUACUGAUUGAAUUUGUGCAAGUUUAAUUUUGUAUUAUUUUUUGUUUUUAAUGUUGGAAAUACUAAGAGGCUUUAAAUUUAAGUUUGGGGAGGUUAUGUAGAAAUUGCUACUAAGUUAGGGGAAGGUUAGUACGUUGUAAUAGUAUUGUUGAGGUUUAGAAAACUUUUGCUAUCUAUAUUGGAACAACUCUUUUUAGAGGUUUAGAAAUUGCCAUAGCUAUGUUUUUCCAUUUAGGGGGUCUUGAGAUUUCUGAUUUUUUUUUGGGUUGUUUUCAUCAUCUCUUCACUACUUUUGCUGAAGAUUUAUAAUUUAUUUUGUGUUUGCUAUAGUUUUUUUGUGUUACAUAGGGGUGAAGCUCUUAAACCGUUUCUUGUUCUCAACAUAUCUUUUUGUUGCGUGUUCAGGUAAUCUUCACUUUCUAAUCCUCAAUCUUCUACGCUAAUUCCCUCUUUAGACUAGCAUCUAUGUAUCUUGUAAACUUGCAGACCUUUUUUGUUGUUAUGUUUUUGUUUAGUUAAGUAGUGGUUGUCCUUUUCUUUUUUGCAUAUGUGAUGUAGGUUUGCCAACCUUUCUUUGUUUAGACUACACCCAAUUACAUUUUUUUUCAUGUUAGAAUUUUUAUAGAGUAAAAACGAAAUUUUAGCUCUUUUUCAAUUGUUUUGAGAGUCAAAGUGUGACUUAGAAACUUUUAGGAACUUUUUACGUGGUUUUGAUAGUCUAAAAGACACCUACAUUCCCUUUAUAUGUAUAAAAUAAAAGAUAUGUGAAUUGGUUUUGAGUUUGUGACAUUUCUACUUGGUUGUUGGCAAUUUUAAACCAUGCAUUUGCUUUUGAUUAUAUGUGCUUUUGUAUUUGUUAUUAUGUGCAAUCAUUUUUAGAAUGAAUGAAUAUAAUUUUUUGCAUAUUGUUUGUUAUUUUUCUCCCUUAAAAUGCUUGAACGUGCCUUGCAAUGUCUCAUUUCAACUCUAUGUUUUAGUUGCCAUUUUUUAGCUUGCUUGACUAUUUAGAUAAUGAAAAGUAAAAUCUUAACUUUGUAACUUUGUUGUAAUUAACGUUCUCUCUUUUGGUUUCAUUUUUUCAUUUUUUCUUAUUAAAAGGUUUCUCACCUUUAAAAUGAAAUUGAUACUCUAAUUUAAAACGAAAUUGGUACUUUAAUUUGGUCUUAUGUCAAAGUUGAGUGUGACCAUGUGUGAUAAUCUUUGCUUGUUCUCUUAUUAGUUUCUCACCUUUUAAGGUGAUUGUUGUUGACAAAGUCAUCAAGUCUUUGGGCUAUAGGCAGUGAGAGAUUUUUUUUGGGAUAGUGGAGGAGAGGAAUAUCUAGAGGUCAAAGAUAAAAUGUUAGCUUAUAAGUGGUUAUGGCACCUUCACUUCCGAUCUUGGAUGAACCCUCUUCUGGUCUUGAUAAUUCGUUUUCACAUAUACUCUUCAAAGCAAUUAGACGUAAGACUCUAGAAAAGGAGUAAACAUUUGCAUGGUUGUUCACCAGUCAAGCUAAGCAACUCAGAAAAAAGAAUUAUCUUUGUAUAUUUGGAAAUGGUCUAAAACCUAUUUUGGUCUUGUUCUUUUGGCUUUCGUCCACAUUGAAAAUAUGCAACCAAUUUUUUCCCAACUUGAUUGAAGUAUUUUAUGUGAAUAACACUAUUAAUAUGGUUUAUUAGUUGAUAUAUUAUAUGAGAUAAAAAUCAUGAUGCUUUAGUUUUUAUUAGGUGAAUGAAGUGGCGAUACAUGCAAGAGCUACAUAUAAUGGGAAGCAUAAUUGUAUUGGAUGCUUUCCAAAAUAGAAAAACUAGAAUAUAAUUUUGAUGGUAGUAACUUUUGGUCAUGUGAAUGUUCUUUUUGGAUUAUAUGUACUCCAUUUUUAUGGGAUUGCAUGAAUUUGGAGCUAACUCAUGAUGUAUUUCGAAAAAUGUUGGUUAAAUUAACUUUUGAGAUUAAUAUGUAGUAUUUCAUUUUCAUAUGAUAUAACUUUGAAGAUUCUAGGUAUAUUUAAGUGGAAAUUAACUUUUGAUCAUAUACGGGAAAAAAAACUAUAGAUGUGAAAAAAAAAAAUAUUUAAAAUCUAUAUUAAAAUAAUAUUUAAAAUAUAUAUUAUUGUAUCUCUCCCAAUGCUAUAGAAAGUAUAAAGUAUAAUACUUUUGCCAAUAUUAUAAAAUGUAAAAAAUCUGCAAUUGAAAGUGGAAUUUCAUAUCACUUUCCAUAACAUUGAAAAAAAUGCUAUAAUAAGGUUAUUAUUAUUAUUUUUUUUUACUUUCAAUAACAUUAGCUAUGAUAGCGUGGAGAAAAAUGCUAUAAAAGGGUUAUAAUAGUGUUUUUUACAUGUUAUAAGAAAUGCUAUAAAAAUGUUUUGAUAGCUUUUUUCUCAUGCUAUUAAAAAUGCUAUAAAAUAGUUUUGACAGCGUUUUUUCAUGCUAUUAAAAACAUUAUGAAAGAGAAAACAUAGCGUUUUUGGCUUAUGCUAUGAAAUGUUUUCAUAGCAUGAUAAUUCUGCAAUAAAAAUGGAUGCUUUGUAGCACAUGUUAUAGCAGACAAAAAAGGUUAUCAAAAGUAUUGGACUUUCCAUAACAUCCCCUAUGACAAUGUCUCCAAGAAUGCUAUCAAAAGUCUACGAUAACAUUUUUGGUCUGCUAUUGUAUGUGAUAUUUGUUGUAAUGUUUGAUGUUAAUUUGUUUUCUUUUCUUUAUGUAAGUGUUCUAAGCAUGACAGGAUAUCAUCAACGAGGACAAGGAAAAUUUAGUUGAGCAGCUUAGCCUAGCAACAAGGUUAGUGACCUCAGAGGUCAGCUUUCUGAGUUAACUUCUUUGGUUAGCCAAAUGGUUGUAGGAAGAUCACAACAAGUGCGAGCAUGUAGGAUUGGCUCGUUUGUGGGUCAUCCUAAGCAAGCAUGCCCAAGGUUGCAGUGGAGCCCGAUGCCACGAGACUACUUCAUAGGACGAUUUUGUAGUCAUUUGGGUGAUUAUUUCCAUCGGCCUAGAUGUGAGUUCUUUGGCUAUAGGAACCAAGGAUAGGAUUGCAACACUACGAUAUAUACCCCGUCGCAUCUGACGUGUUGAUGCAAGCUCAUACUGCCGGCUUGGGUAUGUUAUUUAACAAUCUUCUUUUUGAACAGAAGAUCCAUUGCCUCCAAUAGGAGAGUCUUUGUCCUCAGAUGAAGGUUGGAACUGACUUUCAGAGUUUGAGAGACCUGGUCGAUCAAUUUGUUGAAUUAGUUGAGAGAGGACAUGAAUCCUUGCUGCUCACAUCCUAUAACACUACGAGGCAUGCUAUCGCACCCCUUCCUAGAUUACUUUCUCAACCUAGAAGAAGAUGUGAAGACAGCAGAUGCCAACCGUCUUAUGACAUCCACUGCCCAUCUCAACUAUAGCACUUUGUUCUCCAAAGCUUCGUGCACCUGAUAUACAAUUUAUAAGCAUACAUUCAUCUAUAUAAUCCCUACAACCUAUGCAGUCAACUCAGAUGCACAUGCUAUAUAUACACAUUAAAAUAGUUUACACAUAUAAGUUACACCAUAAUGGGUCCCAUCUAAAAUCUAUCUUUGGUCCCUAAUAUGUACAUUAAAGGUUACUCAAAAUGAACAAGCUCAAACAAUUAAGCUUCUUCUGGUUGUGCCCCUUUUUAGACUUUGAGCUUUGUGUGGCAGACUGGUAGAUCAACUAGGCUCUAGGGUGUUGACCGCUACCUGAGGAAAAGGAAUAUAUUAGAAAGGGUGAGCUAAAAUGCCUAGUGAGUGACUUCUUAAAAUAUGCUGUUUAGUAAACAUGAUUUGAGAACAUAAUAGUUCAUAAACAUAAAUAUAAAACUCUUUAACUUAGGGUUAAGCAAUAUUAAAAGCAUUGGAAAUAUGCCAUCUUCGAAUGUGCUUUUAGGAACUCCAGAAAUCUCGUAAGACAUUUAGUUCAUUUGAAAAUCACCAUCCUUUAGCCUUAGUUUAGGGAGAACCCUUUUGCUCAAUCGCUCAACGUUGAAAUCCUUAGCUGGUGUAGAGUAAUCUCAAUACAAUCAACGCCGAUAAUAUAAUACCUGCAUACACGUGGUCAAGCCCCAAAGGCUACUCAUAUGCCUUGGAUACUUUCAUCCCUUAGGUAUCAGGGGACCCAGAUACCUUCAUACCUUCAGUAUCGAGUUUUCUCAAUAAAACAUUGUAACUUUAUUUAAGAUAAAAUACAGUAUUCUCAAGCAUAAAGCAUCCCAAUAAAAAUACAUCGUAGGCACAAAAAUCAUUGAAAAAUAGCUCAACUCAUAAAAUGCUAGCUAACAUAUGCUUUUAAGCAUUUAAACUCAAGUAUGCUUCAUAAAACUCUUUUAUAAUUCGUCACAUAUAACGUUAAGCUUGGUUUCAAAAACUAGGAAAAGCAUACUUUAAAACUCAUAGUACAAUUGAUCAAACACAUGCUAUAUUUCACAUAAAACCUCAAGCUUUUGAAAGGAAGGACCAUGCGUCCACUUAUCAAUUUGUAAUUAAAGCAAACAUUGGGAAAACUACUUAAUGGAGAACAUGUUUUGAAAGAGUAAAUUCACUGUAAUUGAACAUCCAUGUGUUGGAAAAUUUAGCAAAAUAUUGUUAGGUUUUAUGUCCUAAAACUCAUAGAUAGUAAAUGUUAUUAAUUGAUUGUCAUCAAUAAGGAGUUAUAGAUGUUAAUUCAAUAAAUGUCAUUGUUUGUAUUGUUUGUCUAUUUUGUCUUAAUAACCCUAAAUCUAAUAAACUAACAUCCAAGACUACUUAUGAAUCUUGAAUUGUAUAUGAAAACAUACAUGGAUCGAUGUUCAAGCUACAGCUUGAAGAGUUUAUAGUAUAAGGAUAAGAUUGGAUACCUUAUCUUGGUAACACUAUGGAUAUGACCUACUUUGUAUUUGAUACAAACACAAUGAUCGAAUGCGUUCGUGUAGUUGACAUGCGAGUGAGGGUAUUCUGUACAAUGAGGUUGCAUAAGUCUGGAUCGCAAAAUAGUAACCAUUAGAUGUAACACCGUUAACUAGUUAGGUUC